AAAGCUGUAAUUAUUUAGUCAAAACGGUAUUCGGUAAUACUACUAACUACUUUUUAAACAUUUAAAAUUAGUCGAUUUAAAUUUAAAAUCAACUGAAACUGCUGUUUUGAAUCAAAAUGCUGCCCGCCCAAAACAGCACAUUUUGGAUCAUUCCUACAGCCCUGCAAACAAAAUAGGCUACUUAAAUGCUCGCAUUGAAUUGAUUGUGAUAAUUUGUGUAAGAAUUGUCUGAAGCGCGAUUACACAAAAACUCCCAAAAAGCGUCCAAUUCACACCUUGCGCUCGCGAUUCACAGAUUCGAGACACUCCCACAACAAUUCACUAAUAAAUACAAUAAGUACCACCAUUCUACAUCAGAACAAAUCGGCUGAAGUAACUGUACGUACUACAAGAAUGGAAAGUGUGUGCACGAGUGAUUCCAGACCACGAAGAGGGAAAAAUAAAGAUACCGAAGAACAAGACCUGGUUGAAACUCAAGAAGAACUGAACAAAGCGGAGAAGAAUCAUUUGAUAUCAGGACAAAAAUCUUUCAGCUGCUCACAGACUGAAGCCAAAAAAUUGUUCCCCUGCCCUCAGUGUGGAAAGAGCUUCACACAAAAAGGAAACCUUAAGAUUCACACAAGGAUUCACUCUGGAGAGAAGCCUUUCGAAUGUCAACUGUGUGGCAAGAGUUUCACGGAUCCAAGGAAUCUCAGAGAUCACCAUCUCUCUCACUCUGGAGUAAGAGCGUUCGACUGUGAUAAGUGUGGCAAAAAAUUUAUGUUUGCAGCACACCUGAAAAGACACCUGAGAAUCCAUACAAAUGAAAAGCCUUACUUGUGCUCCAUUUGUGGACAGAGUUAUUCACGCAUGGACCAUUUUAAAGAGCACCAGAAAUUGCAUGCCAAUGUGAGAGCUCAUGUGUGCUUUGAAUGUGGCACUGCCUUUAAUUUAGCCAGUCACUUGAAAGACCACCAAAAACUUCACACUGGAGAGAAACCUUACAAGUGUUCACACUGUGGAAAGAGUUUCUCACAGUCAGGAUCUUUGAAAAAACAUGAGAGAAUUCAUACAGGAUUGAGGCCAUACAUCUGCCCUUCAUGUGGGAGGGCCUUCCGCCAAUCAAGUGCUCUACUGAAUCAUAUAAAAAAGCAUUGCCCGAAGUUGUCACAGUGAGAAAAUGAUGCAAAAUAAUGCAAAAUGCAGAUUAAAAGAGAAAUUUUCAUCCAAGAGGGUAAUUUUUGACAAAAAUGUUUGGGGAGGUCAAAGUAUUCAUUCAAAUAUUGGUGCGAAACACAAUAAUUUUCUAGGAAUGUUCUUGCUGUUGAAUCUGUGAAUUUUUUUUUUUUUUUUUUUUUGCCAGUCUUAGGUGCUAAUUAAUUAUGCAUUGUCAUUCAGAUUAACAAGCCUGUAUACCUGUAUUUCACUCUUAAAUAAAUAAAAACAAAUACUGAAUACUGA